rnacentral:rRNA from 1 species
UGGGGAAUAUUGGACAAUGGGCGAAAGCCUGAUCCAGCCAUGCCGCGUGUGUGAAGAAGGUCUUCGGAUUGUAAAGCACUUUAAGUUGGGAGGAAGGGCAGUAAGCGAAUACCUUGCUGUUUUGACGUUACCGACAGAAUAAGCACCGGCUAACUCUGUGCCAGCAGCCGCGGUAAUACAGAGGGUGCAAGCGUUAAUCGGAAUUACUGGGCGUAAAGCGCGCGUAGGUGGUUCGUUAAGUUGAAUGUGAAAGCCCCGGGCUCAACCUGGGAACUGGAUCCAAAACUGGCGAGCGAGAGUAGGGCAGAGGGUGGUGGAAUUUCCUGUGUAGCGGUGAAAUGCGUAGAUAUAGGAAGGAACACCAGUGGCGAAGGCGACCACCUGGGCUCAUACUGACACUGAGGUGCGAAAGCGUGGGGAGCAAACAGG